UACGUAGGGUGCAAGCGUUAAUCGGAAUUACUGGGCGUAAAGCGUGCGCAGGCGGUGAUGUAAGACAGGUGUGAAAUCCCCGGGCUUAACCUGGGAACUGCAUUUGUGACUGCAUCGCUGGAGUGCGGCAGAGGGGGAUGGAAUUCCGCGUGUAGCAGUGAAAUGCGUAGAUAUGCGGAGGAACACCGAUGGCGAAGGCAAUCCCCUGGGCCUGCACUGACGCUCAUGCACGAAAGCUAGGGGAGCAAACGGG
rnacentral:rRNA from 1 species